CUUGAGCAGGGACAGUGGGCUCAGGCCCAUGUCCAACUCCCUCCUUCCCUGAAAGUCUAGACUUUCCCUCCUUGAACCCAAGAGGGAUGCUUUGGUUUUAGGGCCUGAGAGCAAUAGGCUGGCCAAACCGGUAACCCGAGUGUCCCCUGCCACCAGCCUUAAGAACCUGCAAAUAAGAAAAGCGGGUGUUACCAGUAUUAAGGCAAAGUAGACUCAUUUGACAGUCACCGAAGGGAGAUCAGUGGCCGCCAUGAAGCCAAUGAAGUUAUGACAGCAGGCCCAGGAGGAGUCGGAGCUGAGGAGAACCUGUCAGGUUGCUGACAAACGAUGAUAAAGUGGCCGCUCGUUCUGGCGCUCGAUGGAAAUUGACAAGGAAGAAGAUACAGCCAGGAGGACAGGAGCUGUGGCCUCCAAAGAAAGGACCCCGUGUGCCAAAUGGGGAGGGCAUGAAGGUACUGGUGGGGGUGUCCCCAUAUGUGGCAUGCUGAGCGUACCUGCCUAAAGACACUUCUGCUGACAACCCAUCAGCUCCCCAAACAGAAACUAAGGCUCAAAUGGCACCAACGUCACACAACCUCUCGGUGAGCAACUGUCUCUAUACUUGUAUUAAAUGUGCCCAGCUCUCUGGAUUCUUAUAAAGUAAUGUCAGUUGUAGAACAAUGCCAGCCUACCAGACGAGACACGUUAGAGGAGCG
rnacentral:sRNA from 1 species